rnacentral:lncRNA from 1 species
AAAAGCUCAGAAGAGGAGGAGCAACAGGAGGCAUUCAGGGCUAUGAUGUUUGUCUUCUAAAGUAACCGUUAGGUAAUGAAGCCCAGCUUUCCUGGAAAUGACUGAACAUCUGCCUGCUGACAGGAAGUAGUGAAUACAUUUCUUAUUUUGCUGUCUUUGUUCGCAUGCGCUGCUUUGCUUCACUUAUUAAGCCGUCUUUAACUCAAUGCAAUGUAUUUAAUUUUUGUUCUGACUUUUGCCUGUACAAUUCUCUUCCCCUACACCACUGUAAGUGAGAGUGAGCAAGCAGAACCUAGCUGCCUAUUGGGGUUAACCCACAAGUAGACAUUAUCAUGACUUGCAGUAGGAGAAAAUUAAGUUGUUACCGAGACCACAAAUCAGACUUGCUCAUUUUGGAGCAAAAUAAAAACUGCUUGUAAAGUAGUUGCUGUAAGAUGUGAUUUAUUGUACAUUUGUACUGCUGGAAAGUUUUGAGUUUGCUGAUAGUUUGGAGCACAUCUCACGGAUUUUGUUCAGCUAGUUUGCUCUGUGUAUAUGUAGGAGGGGCAUUCAUGCUUGUUUUUUACAAUCUGAAGUCUGAACUCUGAAGUUUUGUGGGUUUUGUUGUUGUUGUAUUUUGUUUCUGUGUUGUUUUGUUGUCAUCAUCCUGUGGAAAUCUGGGUGUAUUUGAUCAACUGAUAUCUUUGUACCUGGUAGGUAUCAUUUGGAGUUCCAGUCACGCUUUUGCAAAUCAGUUUCCUACAUGAAUUCUCAGAAUCGGUUAUAUUACUCUCUGGAUUAGGAUUAGAAGAAGGGGAAAGAAACAAAAGAUUAGCUCACUCCCUUUGUGUUACUCAGUUUCAUUCUCACUGGGUGCUCAAGAAUGGAUUUACCUUCAAGCGUUACUGUCACCUGGACCAUUCGGCACCAUAUGUGAGAAGGAAAGGGAGGCAGGGUCCAAAGUGCAUACACUUCACUCCCUGUGUAGAUGAGGCAACAAGAGAGAAAAAAAAAAAAAAAGAAAAAAGAAAAAAAGAUAAAGCUGUUCGUCAUCUCUGUUUUGCAUAA